AUUGAACGCUGGCGGAAUGCUUUACACAUGCAAGUCGAACGGCAGCACGGGUGCUUGCACCUGGUGGCGAGUGGCGAACGGGUGAGUAAUACAUCGGAACGUGCCAGUAAUGGGGGAUAACCAACCGAAAGGUUGGCUAAUACCGCAUACGCCCUGAGGGGGAAAGCGGGGGAUCGAAAGACCUCGCGUUAUUGGAGCGGCCGAUGGCGGAUUAGCUAGUUGGUAGGGUAAAGGCCUACCAAGGCGACGAUCCGUAGCGGGUCUGAGAGGACGCCCGGCCACACUGGAAAUGAGACACGGUCCAGGCUCCUGCGGGAGGCAGCAGUGGGGAAUUUUGGACAAAGGGGGAAACCCUGAUCCCGCCAUUCCGCGUGAGUGAAGGAGGCCUUCGGGUUGUAAAGCUCUUUCGGCAGGAACGAAACGGCCAAGGAUAAUACCUUUGGUCAAUGACGGUACCUGAAGAAGAAGCACCGGCUAACUACGUGCCAGCCGCCGCGGUAA
rnacentral:rRNA from 1 species